GAGGAUGCGAGCGUUAUCCGGAUUUAUUGGGUGUAAAGGGCGUGCAGCCGGAGAGGCAAGUCAGAUGUGAAAUCCGCGGGCUCAACCCGCGAACUGCAUUUGAAACUGCUUCCCUUGAGUAUCGGAGAGGUAACCGGAAUUCCUAGUGUAGCGGUGAAAUGCGUAGAUAUUAGGAAGAACACCAGUGGCGAAGGCGGGUUACUGGACGACAACUGACGGUGAGGCGCGAAAGCGUGGGGAGCAAA
rnacentral:rRNA from 1 species